rnacentral:sRNA from 1 species
GUUGCUGUACACUAUGCAACAUAGCUUGAAGAAGCAAUCUAAAUUUACAUUCUACAUUUCGCUGUUUUAUUCAUAAUAAUUAACUCGUUCUGCAGUAUUAAGUUCAAUUCUCAACCAAGCUACAUCAGCCAAUUUUGGCACAUUUUUUUAAGAACAGGAUAUAUUAUGUCUAAUACAGUUAAAGGAACCGUUAAGUGGUUCAACGAAGAAAAAGGUUUUGGUUUUAUUGCUCAAGAGUCUGGCGCUGACGUGUUCGCACACUACAGUUCAAUUGCUAGCGAAGGCUUCAAAACAUUAACUGAAGGUCAAGCGGUUGAGUUCACUGUAACUCAAGGUGCUAAAGGCCCUCAAGCUGAAAACAUUGUUGCGCUAUAAUUUUAGCUAACAAUUGUUUUUAAAAGGCAAGCCAAUGGCUUGCCUUUUUUG